rnacentral:lncRNA from 1 species
UGGAUGAUCUCAUACUGUAGAUGCACAGGCCACGGGUACAGAGAGCGAGAGCGAGAUCGAGCGAGAGCACAAGCAGGGGGAUUAGAAGACUGAGAAGGCGAGCAGGGAUCCUGAUGAGGGGCUCAAUCCCAGGACCCUAGGAUCGUGACCCAAGCUGAAAGCAGACGCUUAAUGACUGAGCCACCCGGAUGCCCCAGUCACUGAG